rnacentral:rRNA from 1 species
AUUGAACGCUGGCGGCAUGCCUUACACAUGCAAGUCGAACGGCAGCACGGACUUCGGUCUGGUGGCGAGUGGCGAACGGGUGAGUAAUGCAUCGGAACGUACCCGGUAGUGGGGGAUCACUACCCGAAAUGGUGGCUAAUACCGCAUAUACUGUGCGCAGGAAACCAGGGGACCUUCGGGCCUUGUGCUACCGGAGCGGCCGAUGGCAGAUUAGGUAGUUGGUGGGGUAACGGCCUACCAAGCCUGCGAUCUGUGGCGGGUCUGAGAGGAUGAUCCGCCACACUGGGACUGAGACACGGCCCAGACUCCUACGGGAGGCAGCAGUGGGGAAUUUUGGACAAUGGGCGCAAGCCUGAUCCAGCCAUGCCGCGUGAGUGAAGAAGGCCUUCGGGUUGUAAAGCUCUUUCGGACGGAAAGAAAUCGCGCAGGCUAAUACCCUGCGCGUAUGACGGUACCGUCAUAAGAAGCACCGGCUAACUACGUGCCAGCAGCCGCCGUAA